GACUGAAAUCUGCUCCACUGCAAUUUGCACCUGUUGUGUCUUUUCCUGUCCUCUCAAGCAACAAGUUUCUUCCAUCAUCAGUUAUUUGAAGACAGUUAUCAUGCUUCCCCUUCAUCUUCUAUUCUCCAAAUGAAACAUGCCCAACUCUUUCAACC